UACUCUCCAUAUACUACGUCUUCUGUAAAAGGAUGAAAAUGUUGAAGAUGAUGAUGGUUUCUAUCCCAUAAAAAUCAAGGCUACACAGCUUCCUAAGAGGAUUCAUUAUGAGAAAAUCAUCAACCACAGCUUUAAGCCUUUGCCUUAGAAGAACUAAUGAGAGAGCCAAUUGGAAGGGUACGCAGUGUGCAUAACUUCAUUCAUAGAAGAUGGGUAAAGGAUGAUAGUUUUCCUGCAUUAUCCAACCUGAAAUUGAUAACUUUGUUAAUAGUGCUCUUGGUGACUGAACAGUCUUCAUCAUCUGGUAAGCAAAUUCUUGGGCAGUUAGUCUCCCACCCCCGCCGCAGCAACUUGGGUGACAUGGACUAACUGUUCAGCAUGAAUGGGUCAAGAAAGAUGUGCUGGUUAUCAGCUGGCUUCCUAGGGAUCCAGAAAGAGCUUUAAGCCUAGAACAUGCCCGCAUAAGA